AUUGAACGCUGGCGGCAGGCCUAACACAUGCAAGUCGAACGGUAACAGGAAGACGCUUGCUUCUUUGCUGACGAGUGGCGGACGGGUGAGUAAUGUCUGGGAAACUGCCUGAUGGAGGGGGAUAACUACUGGAAACGGUAGCUAAUACCGCAUAACGUCGCAAGACCAAAGAGGGGGACCUUCGGGCCUCUUGUCAUCGGAUGUGCCCAGAUGGGAUUAGCUAGUAGGUGGGGUAACGGCUCACCUAGGCGACGAUCCCUAGCUGGUCUGAGAGGAUGACCAGCCACACUGGAACUGAGACACGGUCCAGACUCCUACGGGAGGCAGCAGUGGGGAAUAUUGCACAAUGGGCGCAAGCCUGAUGCAGCCAUGCCGCGUGUAUGAAGAAGGCCUUCGGGUUGUAAAGUACUUUCAGCGGGGAGGAAGGGAGUAAAGUUAAUACCUUUGCUCAUUGACGUUACCCGCAGAAGAAGCACCGGCUAACUCCGUG
rnacentral:rRNA from 1 species